UCUCAAAGAUUAAGCCAUGCAUGUGUAAGUAUAAAUAAUUCUACUUUGAAACUGCGAAUGGCUCAUUAUAUCAGUUAUAGUUUAUUAGAAAAAAUGUACUACUUGGAUAACCGUAGUAAUUCUAGGGCUAAUACAUGAGUAAAUCCUCGACUUUGAAGAGGUGUGUUUAUUAGUAUGAAAACCAUAUGCUUCGGCAUAAUAGUGAGUAAUAAUAACCUUUCAUAUCGUAUGUUGAAAUAACGAUAGUUCUUUCAAGUUUCUGCCCUAUCAGCUUUCGAUGGUAGUGCAUUGGACUACCAUGGCAGUA
rnacentral:rRNA from 6 species